rnacentral:tRNA from 1 species
UCUGAUGGGUGAGACUGUAAAGAAUCUGCCUGUAAUGCAGGAGACCUGGGUUCGAUCCCUGCAUCAGGA